rnacentral:ncRNA from 1 species
AAAAAGGCUGAGAACGAAAAGAGUAAUAGAUUUGGAACUGACAGAGAGAGUGUGUCACCGGCUGAAAGCACACUUCAGGAAAGCGUCUGUGAAGUGCAUUCGGGAGCUGAUCCGGCGAAAGAAAGUAGCCAGAUACGUUGGCAUACGUUACAUGCAUGAAAGUGAAAAUCUGAACAACGAGCAGAUUUUCAGAAGAGUGGAACCGCGGAUAAACUUCGUCUCUUUA